AGCUUUGCGCAGUGGCAGUAUCGUAGCCAAUGAGGUUUAUCCGAGGCGCGAUUAUUGCUAAUUGAAGGAUAUGGAGUUCACAGGCCAGGUCUUACGAGCCACAUGAGAAUAUCAUUUUAAUAGUCUCUUUAGAU